GACGAACGCUGGCGGCAUGCUUAACACAUGCAAGUCGAACGGAAAGGCCCUGCUUUUGUGGGGUGCUCGAGUGGCGAACGGGUGAGUAACACGUGAGUAACCUGCCCUUGACUUUGGGAUAACUUCAGGAAACUGGGGCUAAUACCGGAUAGGAGCUCCUGCUGCAUGGUGGGGGUUGGAAAGUUUCGGCGGUUGGGGAUGGACUCGCGGCUUAUCAGCUUGUUGGUGGGGUAGUGGCUUACCAAGGCUUUGACGGGUAGCCGGCCUGAGAGGGUGACCGGCCACAUUGGGACUGAGAUACGGCCCAGACUCCUACGGGAGGCAGCAGUGGGGAAUAUUGCACAGUGGGCGGAAGCCUGAUGCAGCAACGCCGCGUGCGGGAUGACGGCCUUCGGGUUGUAAACCGCUUUCGCCUGUGACGAAGCGUGAGUGACGGUAAUGUGUAAAGAAGCACCGGCUAACUACGUG
rnacentral:rRNA from 1 species